rnacentral:rRNA from 1 species
AACGAACGCUGGCGGCAGGCUUAACACAUGCAAGUCGAGCGCCCCGCAAGGGGAGCGGCAGACGGGUGAGUAACGCGUGGGAAUCUACCCAUCUCUACGGAAUAACGCAUGGAAACGUGUGCUAAUACCGUAUACGUCCUUCGGGAGAAAGAUUUAUCGGAGAUGGAUGAGCCCGCGUUGGAUUAGCUAGUUGGUGGGGUAAAGGCCUACCAAGGCGACGAUCCAUAGCUGGUCUGAGAGGAUGAUCAGCCACACUGGGACUGAGACACGGCCCAGACUGCUACGGGAGGCGGCAGUGGGGAAUAUUAGACAAUGGGCGCAAGCCUGAUCCAGCCAUGCCGCGUGAGUGAUGAAGGCCCUAGGGUUGUAAAGCUCUUUCACCGGUGAAGAUAAUGGCGGUAACCGGAGAAGAAGCCCCGGCUAACUUCGUGCCAGCCGCCGCGGUAAGAC